rfam:Dipodomys ordii contig_71858, whole genome shotgun sequence.
GGUGGCUCAGUGAUAGAGCACUUGCCUUGCAUGCAUGAGGCCCUGGGUUCAAUUCCUCAGCACCA